GAUUCCUUGGUUUAGUGGUAUAAUGCUACCUUAGGGUGUUUAACAACUCUUGAGGUCGCCAUCUGGUAGAGGUCCCGCGUUCGAUUCGCGGAGGAGUCC